rnacentral:rRNA from 1 species
AACGAACGCUGGCGGCAUGCCUAACACAUGCAAGUCGAACGAGACCUUCAGGUCUAGUGGCGCACGGGUGCGUAACGCGUGGGAAUCUGCCCUUGGGUUCGGAACAACAGUUGGAAACGACUGCUAAUACCGGAUGAUGACUUCGGUCCAAGGAUUUAUCGCCCAAGGAUGAGCCCGCGUAGGAUUAGCUUGUUGGUGAGGUAAAAGCUCACCAAGGCGACGAUCCUUAGCUGGUCUGAGAGGAUGAUCAGCCACACUGGGACUGAGACACGGCCCAGACUCCUACGGGAGGCAGCAGUGGGGAAUAUUGGACAAUGGGCGAAAGCCUGAUCCAGCAAUGCCGCGUGAGUGAUGAAGGCCUUAGGGUUGUAAAGCUCUUUUACCCGGGAUGAUAAUGACAGUACCGGGAGAAUAAGCCCCGGCUAACUCCGUGCCAGCAGCCGCCGUAACAC